rnacentral:rRNA from 1 species
UCUGACUNGAGUGCAGAAGGGGAGAGUGGAAUUCCAUGUGUAGCGGUGAAAUGCGUAGAUAUAUGGAGGAACACCAGUGGCGAAAGCGGCUCUCUGGUCUGUCACUGACGCUGAGGCUCGAAAGCGUGGGUAGCGAACAGGAUUAGAUACCCUGGUAGUCCACGCCGUAAACGAUGAGUGCUAGGUGUUAGGCCCUNUCCGGGGCUUAGUGCCGGAGCUAACGCAAUAAGCACUCCGCCUGGGGAGUACGACCGCAGGGUUGAAACUCAAAGGAAUUGACGGGGGCCCGCACAAGCGGUGGAGCAUGUGGUUUAAUUCGAAGCAACGCGAAGAACCUUACCAGGUCUUGACAUCCCGAUGCUAUUCUUAGAGAUAGGAAGUUACUUCGGUACAUCGGAGACAGGUGGUGCAUGGUUGUCGUCAGCUCGUGUCGUGAGAUGUUGGGUUAANNNNNNCAACGAGCGCAACCCUUAUUGUUAGUUGCCAUCAUUAAGUUGGGCACUCUAGCGAGACUGCCGGUAAUAAACCGGAGGAAGGUGGGGAUGACGUCAAAUCAUCAUGCCCCUUAUGACCUGGGCUACACACGUGCUACAAUGGUCGGUACAACGAGUUGCGAGCCGGUGACGGCAAGCUAAUCUCUGAAAGCCGAUCUCAGUUCGGAUUGGAGGCUGCAACU